CAAGACAGCUGCCCACAAGAAAGAAUUUUUGGCCUGAAAUGUCAAGUGUUGAGCCCCGCAGUACAUAGUUGUGUAUUCUAGUUGUAGGUCCUUCUGGUUAUGCCAUGUGGGAUGCCGCCUCAGCGUAGCUGGACGAGCAGUGCCGUGUCCACGCCCAGGAUCUGAACCGGUGAAACCCUGGGCCGCCAAGGGGGAGCACAAGAACAUAACCACUCCACGACGGAGCCGAUCCCAGGAACUUCUCUUUAAAGCACAGGCAUUUAUGAUGCUCACAUUAAGUUUUAGGCUAAAUAAAAUAUUUGUUCUCUGCAAA
rnacentral:lncRNA from 1 species